GGGGAAUAUUGCACAAUGGGCGCAAGCCUGAUGCAGCGACGCCGCGUGCAGGAUGGAGGCCUUCGGGUUGUAAACCGCUUUUAAUCGGGAGCAAGCCCUUCGGGGUGAGUGUACCUUUCGAAUAAGCACCGGCUAACUACGUGCCAGCAGCCGCGGUAAUACGUAGGGUGCAAGCGUUAUCCGGAAUUAUUGGGCGUAAAGGGCUCGUAGGCGGUUCGUCGCGUCCGGUGUGAAAGCCCAUCGCUUAACGGUGGGUCUGCGCCGGGUACGGGCGGGCUGGAGUGCGGUAGGGGAGACUGGAAUUCCCGGUGUAACGGUGGAAUGUGUAGAUAUCGGGAAGAACACCAAUGGCGAAGGCAGGUCUCUGGGCCGUCACUGACGCUGAGGAGCGAAAGCGUGGGGAGCGAACAGGAUUAGAUACCCUGGUAGUCCACGCCGUAAACGGUGGAUGCUGGAUGUGGGGCCCGUUCCACGGGUUCCGUGUCGGAGCUAACGCGUUAAGCAUCCCGCCUGGGGAGUACGGCCGCAAGGCUAAAACUCAAAGAAAUUGACGGGGGCCCGCACAAGCGGCGGAGCAUGCGGAUUAAUUCGAUGCAACGCGAAGAACCUUACCUGGGCUUGACAUGUUCCCGACAGCCGUAGAGAUAUGGCCUCCCUUCGGGGCGGGUUCACAGGUGGUGCAUGGUCGUCGUCAGCUCGUGUCGUGAGAUGUUGGGUUAAGUCCCGCAACGAGCGCAACCCUCGCCCUGUGUUGCCAGCACGUCAUGGUGGGAACUCACGGGGGACCGCCGGGGUCAACUCGGAGGAAGGUGGGGAUGACGUCAGAUCAUCAUGCCCCUUACGUCCAGGGCUUCACGCAUGCUACAAUGGCCGGUACAGCGGGAUGCGACAUGGCGACAUGGAGCGGAUCCCUGAAAACCGGUCUCAGUUCGGAUUGGAGUCUGCAACCCGACUCCAUGAAGGCGGAGUCGCUAGUAAUCGCGGAUCAGCAACGCCGCGGUGAAUGCGUUCCC
rnacentral:rRNA from 1 species